rnacentral:rRNA from 1 species
UACGUAGGGAGGCAAGCGUUGUCCGGAGUACUGGGCGUAAAGCGCACGCAGGCGGUCUUGUCAGUCUGUAGGGACAGGGCACAGCUCAACUGUGUCAGGCUUACGGAAACUGCAAGACUUGAGGGCUUCAGAGGGAUGGGGAAUUCCGGGUGGAGUGGUGAAAUGCGUAGAGAUCCGGAAGAACACCAAAGGCGAAGGCACCAUCUGGGGAGUCACUGACGCUCGGGUGCGAAAGCUAGGGGAGCGAACGGG